AAUGAACGCUGGCGGCAGGCCUAACACAUGCAAGUCGAACGAGUGGCGGACGGGUGAGUAAUGUCUGGGAAACUGCCUGAUGGAGGGGGAUAACUACUGGAAACGGUAGCUAAUACCGCAUACCAUCAGAUGUGCCCAGAUGGGAUUAGCUGGUUGGUGGGGGAACGGCGCACCAAGGCGACGAUCCCUAGCUGGUAUGAAAGGAUGACCAGUCACCCUGGAACGGAGACACGGUCCAGACUCCUACGGGAGGCAGCAGGUGGGAAUAUUGCACAAUGGGCGCAAGUCUGAUGCAGCCAUGCCGCGUGUAUGAAGAAGGCCUUCGGGUUGUAAAGUACUUUUAGCGGGGAGGCGGUACCCGCAGAAGAAGCACCGGCUAACUUCGUGCCAGCAGCCGCGGUAAUUC
rnacentral:rRNA from 1 species